rnacentral:rRNA from 1 species
AGUGAACGCUGGCGGUAGGCCUAACACAUGCAAGUCGAACGGCAGCACAGUAAGAGCUUGCUCUUACGGGUGGCGAGUGGCGGACGGGUGAGGAAUACAUCGGAAUCUACUUUUUCGUGGGGGAUAACGUAGGGAAACUUACGCUAAUACCGCAUACGACCUACGGGUGAAAGCAGGGGAUCUUCGGACCUUGCGCGAUUGAAUGGGCCGAUGUCGGACUAGCUAGUUGGUGGGGUAAAGGCCCACCAAGGCGACGAUGGGUAGCUGGUCUGAGAGGAUGACCGGACAAAUUGGGACGGAGAUACGGACCAGAACCCGACGGGAGGCAGAAGUGGGGAAUAUUGCACAAUGGGCGGAAGCCUGAGGCAGCAACGCCGCGUGCGGGAUGACGGCCUUCGGGUUGUAAACAGCUUGCGCCUGGGACGAAGCGUGAGUGACGGUAAUGGGUAAAGAAGCACCGGCUAACUACGUG